rnacentral:rRNA from 1 species
GCUAAUGACGGUACCUGAAGAAUAAGCACCGGCUAACUACGUGCCAGCAGCCGCGGUAAUACGUAGGGUGCAAGCGUUAAUCGGAAUUACUGGGCGUAAAGCGUGCGCAGGCGGUUUUGUAAGUCUGUCGUGAAAUCCCCGGGCUCAACCUGGGAAUGGCGAUGGAGACUGCAAGGCUAGAGUUUGGCAGAGGGGGGUAGAAUUCCACGUGUAGCAGUGAAAUGCGUAGAUAUGUGGAGGAACACCGAUGGCGAAGGCAGCCCCCUGGGUCAAAACUGACGCUCAUGCACGAAAGCGUGGGGAGCAAACAGGAUUAGAUACCCUGGUAGUCCACGCCCUAAACGAUGUCUACUAGUUGUCGGGUCUUAAUUGACUUGGUAACGCAGCUAACGCGUGAAGUAGACCGCCUGGGGAGUACGGUCGCAAGAUUAAAACUCAAAGGAAUUGACGGGGACCCGCACAAGCGGUGGAUGAUGUGGAUUAAUUCGAUGCAACGCGAAAAACCUUACCUACCCUUGACAUGGAUGGAAUC